GACAGAGGGUGCAAACGUUGUUCGGAAUUACUGGGCGUAAAGCGCGUGUAGGCGGCUCGGAAAGUCGGGUGUGAAAGCCCUGGGCUUAACCCAGGAAGUGCACUCGAAACUUCCGAGCUGGAGUCCUGGAGAGGAAGGCGGAAUUCUCGGUGUAGAGGUGAAAUUCGUAGAUAUCGAGAGGAACACCGGUGGCGAAGGCGAGUCUCGUGGACAGUUACUGACGCUGAGGCACGAAGGCCAGGGGAGCAAACGGG
rnacentral:rRNA from 1 species